rnacentral:rRNA from 1 species
UCGGGAAACUGAGGCUAAUAGUGUAUACCACAGUCCACCUGGAAUGAGGACUGUGCCAAACGCUCCGGCGCCGAAGGAUGUGGCUGCGGCCGAUUAGGUAGACGGUGGGGUAACGGCCCACCGUGCCAAUAAUCGGUACGGGUCAUGAGAGUGAGAACCCGGAGACGGAAUCUGAGACAAGAUUCCGGGCCCUACGGGGCGCAGCAGGCGCGAAACCUUUACACUGCACGACAGUGCGAUAAGGGAAUCCCAAGUGCGCAGGCAUAGAGCCUGCGCUUUUGUCCACCGUAGGGAGGUGGACGAAUAAGGGCUGGGCAAGACCGGUGCCAGCCGCCGCGGUAAUACCGGCAGCCCGAGUGAUGGCCGAUCUUAUUGGGCCUAAAGCGUCCGUAGCUGGCCGCACAAGUCUAUCGGAAAAUCCACCCGCUCAACGGGUGGGCGUCCGGUAGAAACUGUGUGGCUUGGGACCGGAAGGCGCGACGGGUACGUCCGGGGUAGGAGUGAAAUCCCGUAAUCCUGGACGGACCGCCGAUGGCGAAAGCACGUCGCGAAGACGGAUCCGACAGUGAGGGACGAAAGCUAGGGUCUCGAACCGGAUUAGAUACCCGGGUAGUCCUAGCCGUAAACAAUGCCUGCUAGGUGUGGCUCCCACUACGAGUGGGUGCUGUGCCGUAGGGAAGCCGCUAAGCAGGCCGCCUGGGAAGUACGUCCGCAAGGAUGAAACUUAAAGGAAUUGGCGGGGGAGCACUACAACCGGAGGAGCCUGCGGUUUAAUUGGACUCAACGCCGGACAUCUCACCAGCAUCGACUGUAGUAAUGACGAUCAGGUUGAUGACCUUAUCCGAGCUUCAGAGAGGAGGUGCAUGGCCGCCGUCAGCUCGUACCGUGAGGCGUCCUGUUAAGUCAGGCAACGAGCGAGACCCGCAUCCUUACUUGCCAGCAGCACUGCGAAGUGGCUGGGGACAGUAGGGAGACCGCCGUGGCCAACACGGAGGAAGGAACGGGCAACGGUAGGUCAGUAUGCCCCGAAUGUGCUGGGCAACACGCGGGCUACAAUGGUCGAGACAAAGGGUUCCUACUCCGAAAGGAGACGGUAAUCUCAGAAACUCGAUCGUAGUUCGGAUUGUGGGCUGCAACUCGCCCACAUGAAGCUGGAUUCGGUAGUAAUCGCGUGUCAUAAGCGCGCGGUGAAUACGUCCCUGCUCCUUG